rnacentral:rRNA from 1 species
UACAGAGGGGGCAAGCGUUAUUCGGAAUUAUAGGGCGUAAAGGGCGCGUAGGCGGCCUGGCAAGUGACGGGUGAAAGCCCUCGGCUCAACCGAGGAACUGCCUGUCAUACUGCCGGGCUUGAGUCCGGGAGAGGUGAGUGGAAUUCCCAGUGUAGCGGUGAAAUGCGUAGAUAUUGGGAGGAACACCAGUGGCGAAGGCGGCUCACUGGACCGGAACUGACGCUGAGGCGCGAAAGCGUGGGGAGCAAACCGG